CCAACUCAUUGAUUUUGUCCUUGAUGGCAGAGCAGGGUAUGGAUUGACAGUGAGAAACUGAAACAUUCCUAUCCUAUAGGAAAUCAUUGCAAAGGGGCUUGGCUCGUGGUAUCUGAGAGCUUCCAUAUCCUGCUUGUGACAGUCUGUCAGCUAUCACUUAUGGUUCUUAGUGGUUCCAAAGGCUCAUUUGUUCCAAAUCUGAUCCUCAUAAAAUUGAUUAUAUAUCUAUAGGUAUGUAAUUGUUUUAAAUUUUGAAGCAAACACAAGUAGAUAAAUUAUUACUGAAACCCAGAAAGUAUAAUUCCCCUCAAAUCAGCAUGAAAUUCAAAACAGUUCCACAUGAUUGCGUAAUUGCUGGAGUAUAACUGAAAUGUCCUGCAACAAGAGAACUGAUUCCACAUCAUCCUCAUUAUUAGGGAAUAAAUCAAACAUACUUCUUAUUAAUCCC
rnacentral:lncRNA from 1 species